rnacentral:rRNA from 1 species
GGUUAAGCGACUAAGCGUACACGGUGGAUGCCCUGGCAGUCAGAGGCGAUGAAGGACGUGCUAAUCUGCGAAAAGCGUCGGUAAGGUGAUAUGAACCGUUAUAACCGGCGAUGUCCGAAUGGGGAAACCCAGUGUGAUUCGUCACACUAUCGUUAACUGAAUACAUAGGUUAACGAGGCGAACCGGGGGAACUGAAACAUCUAAGUACCCCGAGGAAAAGAAAUCAACCGAGAUUCCCCCAGUAGCGGCGAGCGAACGGGGAGCAGCCCAGAGUCUGAAUCAGCUUGUGUGUUAGUGGAACGGUCUGGAAAGUCCGACGGUACAGGGUGAUAGUCCCGUACACCAAAAUGCACAGGCUGUGAACUCGAAGAGUAGGGCGGGACACGUGGUAUCCUGUCUGAAUAUGGGGGGACCAUCCUCCAAGGCUAAAUACUCCUGACUGACCGAUAGUGAACCAGUACCGUGAGGGAAAGGCGAAAAGAACCCCGGCGAGGGGAGUGAAAAAGAACCUGAAACCGUGUACGUACAAGCAGUGGGAGCACCUUCGGGUGUGACUGCGUACCUUUUGUAUAAUGGGUCAGCGACUUAUAUUCUGUAGCAAGGUUAACCGUAUAGGGGAGCCGCAGGGAAACCGAGUCUUAACUGGGCGUUAAGUUGCAGGGUAUAGACCCGAAACCCGGUGAUCUAGCCAUGGGCAGGUUGAAGGUUGGGUAACACUAACUGGAGGACCGAACCGACUAAUGUUGAAAAAUUAGCGGAUGACUUGUGGCUGGGGGUGAAAGGCCAAUCAAACCGGGAGAUAGCUGGUUCUCCCCGAAAGCUAUUUAGGUAGCGCCUCGUGAAUUCAUCUUCGGGGGUAGAGCACUGUUUCGGCUAGGGGGUCAUCCCGACUUACCAACCCGAUGCAAACUACGAAUACCGAAGAAUGUUAUCACGGGAGACACACGGCGGGUGCUAACGUCCGUCGUGAAGAGGGAAACAACCCAGACCGCCAGCUAAGGUCCCAAAGUCAUGGUUAAGUGGGAAACGAUGUGGGAAGGCACAGACAGCCAGGAUGUUGGCUUAGAAGCAGCCAUCAUUUAAAGAAAGCGUAAUAGCUCACUGGUCGAGUCGGCCUGCGCGGAAGAUGUAACGGGGCUAAACCAUGCACCGAAGCUGCGGCAGCGACACUAUGUGUUGUUGGGUAGGGGAGCGUUCUGUAAGCCUGCGAAGGUGACCUGUGAGGGUUGCUGGAGGUAUCAGAAGUGCGAAUGCUGACAUAAGUAACGAUAAAGCGGGUGAAAAGCCCGCUCGCCGGAAGACCAAGGGUUCCUGUCCAACGUUAAUCGGGGCAGGGUGAGUCGACCCCUAAGGCGAGGCCGAAAGGCGUAGUCGAUGGGAAACAGGUUAAUAUUCCUGUACUUGGUGUUACUGCGAAGGGGGGACGGAGAAGGCUAUGUUAGCCGGGCGACGGUUGUCCCGGUUUAAGCAUGUAGGCUGAUUGUCCAGGCAAAUCCGGAUAAUCAAGGCUGAGGUGUGAUGACGAGGCACUACGGUGCUGAAGUAACAAAUGCCCUGCUUCCAGGAAAAGCCUCUAAGCAUCAGGUAACAUCAAAUCGUACCCCAAACCGACACAGGUGGUCAGGUAGAGAAUACCAAGGCGCUUGAGAGAACUCGGGUGAAGGAACUAGGCAAAAUGGUGCCGUAACUUCGGGAGAAGGCACGCUGGUGUGUAGGUGAAGCCCCUGCGGGUGGAGCUGAGACCAGUCGAAGAUACCAGCUGGCUGCAACUGUUUAUUAAAAACACAGCACUGUGCAAACACGAAAGUGGACGUAUACGGUGUGACGCCUGCCCGGUGCCGGAAGGUUAAUUGAUGGGGUUAUCCGUAAGGAGAAGCUCUUGAUCGAAGCCCCGGUAAACGGCGGCCGUAACUAUAACGGUCCUAAGGUAGCGAAAUUCCUUGUCGGGUAAGUUCCGACCUGCACGAAUGGCGUAAUGAUGGCCAGGCUGUCUCCACCCGAGACUCAGUGAAAUUGAACUCGCUGUGAAGAUGCAGUGUACCCGCGGCAAGACGGAAAGACCCCGUGAACCUUUACUAUAGCUUGACACUGAACAUUGAGCCUUGAUGUGUAGGAUAGGUGGGAGGCUUUGAAGCGUGGACGCCAGUCUGCGUGGAGCCAACCUUGAAAUACCACCCUUUAAUGUUUGAUGUUCUAACGUUGGCCCCUUACCGGGGUUGCGGACAGUGUCUGGUGGGUAGUUUGACUGGGGCGGUCUCCUCCCAAAGCGUAACGGAGGAGCACGAAGGUUAGCUAAUCCUGGUCGGACAUCAGGAGGUUAGUGCAAUGGCAUAAGCUAGCUUGACUGCGAGCGUGACGGCGCGAGCAGGUGCGAAAGCAGGUCAUAGUGAUCCGGUGGUUCUGAAUGGAAGGGCCAUCGCUCAACGGAUAAAAGGUACUCCGGGGAUAACAGGCUGAUACCGCCCAAGAGUUCAUAUCGACGGCGGUGUUUGGCACCUCGAUGUCGGCUCAUCACAUCCUGGGGCUGAAGUAGGUCCCAAGGGUAUGGCUGUUCGCCAUUUAAAGUGGUACGCGAGCUGGGUUUAGAACGUCGUGAGACAGUUCGGUCCCUAUCUGCCGUGGGCGCUGGAGAAUUGAGGGGGGCUGCUCCUAGUACGAGAGGACCGGAGUGGACGCAUCACUGGUGUUCGGGUUGUCAUGCCAAUGGCACUGCCCGGUAGCUAAAUGCGGAAGAGAUAAGUGCUGAAAGCAUCUAAGCACGAAACUUGCCCCGAGAUGAGUUCUCCCUGAGACUUUAAGUCUCCUGAAGGAACGUUAAAGACGAUGACGUUGAUAGGCCGGGUGUGUAAGCGCAGCGAUGCGUUGAGCUAACCGGUACUAAUGAACCGUGAGGCUUAACCUU